CAGGCCUAACACAUGCAAGUCGAACGGCAGCGCGGGGCAACCUGGCGGCGAGUGGCGAACGGGUGAGUAAUAUAUCGGAACGUACCCAGAAGUGGGGGAUAACGUAGCGAAAGUUACGCUAAUACCGCAUACGAUCUACGGAUGAAAGUGGGGGACCUUCGGGCCUCAUGCUUGUGGAGCGGCCGAUAUCUGAUUAGCUAGUUGGUAGGGUAAAGGCCUACCAAGGCGACGAUCAGUAGCUGGUCUGAGAGGACGACCAGCCACACUGGAACUGAGACACGGUCCAGACUCCUACGGGAGGCAGCAGUGGGGAAUUUUGGACAAUGGGCGCAAGCUGAUCCAGCAAUGCCGCGUGAGUGAAGAAGGCCUUCGGGUUGUAAAGCUCUUUUGUCAGGGAAGAAACGGCUGAGGUUAAUACCUUUGGCUAAUGACGGUACCUGAAGAAUAAGCACCGGCUAACUACGUGCCAGCAGCCGCGGUAAUACGUAGGGUGCAAGCGUUAAUCGGAAUUACUGGGCGUAAAGCGUGCGCAGGCGGUUUUGUAAGUCUGUCGUGAAAGCCCCGGGCUCAACCUGGGAAUUGCGAUGGAGACUGCAAGGCUUGAAUCUGGCAGAGGGGGGUAGAAUUCCACGUGUAGCAGUGAAAUGCGUAGAGAUGUGGAGGAACACCGAUGGCGAAGGCAGCCCCCUGGGUCAAGAUUGACGCUCAUGCACGAAAGCGUGGGGAGCAAACAGGAUUAGAUACCCUGGUAGUCCACGCCCUAAACGAUGUCUACUAGUUGUCGGGUUUUAAUUAACUUGGUAACGCAGCUAACGCGUGAAGUAGACCGCCUGGGGGAGUACGGUCGCAAGAUUAAAACUCAAAGGAAUUGACGGGGACCGCACAAGCGGUGGAUGAUGUGGAUUAAUUCGA
rnacentral:rRNA from 1 species